AACGAACGCUGGCGGCGUGGAUUAGGCAUGCAAGUCGAACGAGAAAAGUUUCUUCGGAAGCUUAGUAAAGUGGCAAACGGGUGAGUAACGCGUGGGAAACUUACCUUUUAGUUGGGGAUAACACUUCUAACGAAGUGCUAAUACCGAAUAAGAUCUUUCCAUCGCAUGAUGGAUUGAUGAAAGAUGGCCUCUGUUUCAAGCUAUCGCUGAAAGAUGGUCCCGCGUCCCAUUAGCUUGUUGGUGAGGUAACGGCUCACCAAGGCUUCGAUGGGUAGCCGGCCUUAGCGGGUGACCGGCCACACUGGGACUGAGAUACGGCCCAGACUCCUACGGGAGGCAGCAGUCGAGAGGCAUCCACAAUGGGGGAAACCCUGAUGGUGCGACGCCGCGUGGGUGAUGAAGGUUUUCGGAUCGUAAAGCCCUUUCAGCAAGGACGAACGUGCCGGGUGUUAAUACCAUCCGGCAAAAGACGGU
rnacentral:rRNA from 1 species